rnacentral:lncRNA from 10 species
CUUAGGGGCUCUGGGCUGCCCUCUUGAAGAGGGGGUUCAGCCCAGCGAGGCACCCCCUAUGCUGCACCCCACCAAGGUUAGGAAGAGGUCCUGUCCUCAGUGGGGCCCUCUGAUGAACAGCCCAUCAGGUCUGCGUCCACAUGCCUUGGAAGAGAUGGUGACAUACUCAAAGUCCUUGAAGCCGCAUAUUAAACCACCUAGAGCACCAUCUUCAAACAUUUAGGGUCUGAGAAGAUAGGGGAAGUAAGCAAUUUAAAACAUUUCUUUAUAUUGGGCCAGGUGCAAUGGCUCACGUCUGUAAUCCCAGCGCUUUGGGAGGACGAGGAUCACCUGAGGUCAGGAGUUCAAGAUCAGCCUGGCCAACAUGGAGAAACCCCAUCUCUACUAAAAAUACAAAAAUUAGCUCAGGCGUGGUGAUGUGCACCUGUAAUCCUAGCUAUUCAGGAGGCUGAGGCACAAGAAUUGCUUGAGUCAAUAUUGCACCACUGCACUCCAGCCUGGGCAACAGCGAGACUCUUGUCUCAAAAAAAAAAAAAGAUAUUUGCUGAAAAGACCCAGCCUGCCAAACUCAGGGGCAGCCAAGGGAGGUAGUGAAAUGGAAGUUGGAGCUCAGCGCUCCCUCACCUCCACUGCCCUCAGGCCUUCUCUGCCUCUUUCCCAUCAGUCAGCUGCUUCUGGGCAUGGUCCUGGCAGAGACUUGGCCUCCUUCCAGUUCAAGCUCCCUCUUAGAUUGUGUCCCACGCCACUGAGUCUCUGGGACACUGGGUCAGUUGUCUAGUCUGGCACAAUUGGCAGGAAUCCCAAGAAACAGUGUGAGUGAGGGGACAGUCGUGUUGAAGGCCCUCCAUCUGGGACUGGGAGGCAGGUCUAUGUCAGGCCUGCAUUUAGAUCUCUAAUAGCUCCAGACAAGCCCCUUCAGCUCACUAAGCCUGUUUCCUAACACAGCUGUGGGAUGGUGCUUUGGUUUACAUAGCACGCGAUACCAUCAUAGAUCACAUGGGGAAACUGAGGCCCCAGGAGUGAUCUGCUGGCACAUGCAGUGACAAGAGGAGAGGCCCAUCUCAGCCUUGCAGCAAGGUUGCCAGAAAUCGAUUCUCGCCCCCAUCCCGUAAAGCCUCUCUGCAUCACCUGCUUCCCACAGCAGCAGCCUGGGCCUCCAAAGGGCACAUUCAGAUUUGAGGGAUUUGGGGAGUUUGUGGGCAAGGGCAGACUACUAUGGGCUUUUGGGUGAACCCCAAGGGAAUGCAAAGAAGCCCCCUGCCAUUCUCCAUGAAUGGAGCUGAAUGCCCUAGCCCCCCAUUCUUCCACGUGGGAGUAUCCUCUUGAGAGUCCUGCUGGCUGUUGGUCAAGGCAGGUUAAAAGCUGAGGCUUAAAGUAGCCAGGGGUAGUGGCUCCCGCCUG